rnacentral:rRNA from 1 species
UACAGAGGGGCAAGCGUUAUUCGGAAUUAUUGGCGUAAAGGGCGCGUAGGCGGCUUUGCAAGUGACGGGUGAAAGCCCUCGGCUUAACCGAGACUGCCUGUCAGACUGUGAGGCUUGAGACCGGGAGAGGUGAGUGGAAUUCCAGUGUAGCGGUGAAAUGCGUAGAUAUUGGGAGGAACACCAGUGGCGAAGGCGGCUCACUGGACCG